CAGCAGCCGCGGGAAUACGUAGGGUGCGAGCGUUAAUCGGAAUUACUGGGCGUAAAGCGUGCGCAGGCGGUUAUAUAAGUCAGAUGUGAGAUCCCCGGGCUCAACCUGGGAACUGCAUUUGAGACUGUAUGGCUAGAGUGUGUCAGAGGGGGGUAGAAUUCCACGUGUAGCAGUGAAAUGCGUAGAUAUGUGGAGGAAUACCGAUGGCGAAGGCAGCCCCCUGGGAUAACACUGACGCUCAUGCACGAAAGCGUGGGGAGCAAACAGGAUUAGAUACCCGAGUAGUCCCUGUCUCUUAUAU
rnacentral:rRNA from 1 species